UUGAUCCUGCCGGACCCGACUGCUAUCAGAGUGAGACUAAGCCAUGCGAGUUAACGUAUGAAUAAUACGUGGCACACGGCUCAGUAACACGUAGUCAACAUGCCCAGAGGACGUGGAUAACCUCGGGAAACUGAGGAUAAACCGCGAUAGGCCAUAAUUACUGGAAUGGGUUAUGGCUUAAACCUAUAUGGCCCCUGGAUUGGACUGCGGCCGAUCAGGCUGUUGGUGAGGUAAUGGCCCACCAAACCUGUAACCGGUACGGGCUUUGAGAGAAGGAGCCCGGAGAUGGGCACUGAGACAAGGGCCCAGGCCCUAUGGGGCGCAGCAGGCGCGAAAAUUCUGCAAUAGGCGAAAGCUUGACAGAGUUACUCUGAGUGAUGCCCGCUAAGGGCAUCUUUUGGCACCUCUAAAAAUGGUGCAGAAUAAGGGGUGGGCAAGUCUGGUGUCAGCCGCCGCGGUAAUACCAGCACCCCGAGUGGUCGGGACGAUUAUUGGGCCUAAAGCAUCCGUAGCUUGUUCUGCAAGUCUUCCGUUAAAUCCACCUGCUCAACAGAUGGGCUGCGGGAGAUACUACAGGGCUAGGAGGCGGGAGAGGCAAGCGGUACUCAGUGGGUAGGGGUAAAAUCCUCUGAUCCACUGAAGACCACCAGUGGCGAAGGCGGCUUGCCAGAACGCGCUCGACGGUGAGGGAUGAAAGCUGGGGGAGCAAACCGGAUUAGAUACC
rnacentral:rRNA from 1 species